UCCCCCCACCAAAAUCAAGCACUACAGCUACCUGCGUGGUUCAGAUUGACGAGAGAGUAGAUAGCAGCGUGCAGGUGCACUCUGUUCACUUCGGCUAGCUCCACCUCCACCACCAUGGCCAACUUCGCCGCCCAGCUCAAGGAUAGGUUUUUCGGCCUCGUCGACCGUGUCGCCGGCUGCGGCCGCGCCGGGGUCAGCGAGGAGACCACCAAGUCGGCGCCGGCGCCGGCCGUGCAGGAGCAUGUCGAGAUUCGACCGAGAGGCCCCGGCGUGUCAGGAGGAUCGGAGGCGGGAGUCAAUUAGACACCGCAAGUGCUACUCGAUCGCCCACAUUCGUGUGGCUUCCCUUGUUCUGAAAGUUGAAACAAAGGCUUUAUUUGCUGGAGAUUUUCAAUGUGUGAAGUGUGCAUGUGCGUGCGUGGUCGCGUGCUGUGUUUUCAAGUGUUCAAGAAGAUUUUUUUUUGUUCAUGCCAUGACAUGACAAAUUGAGUUUGAUAAUUUCAUUGUAACAUUGUUAUUUGAUGAAGCAGUAAUUUGAUCAAAAUUUUA